AAAAGCAAACAACCCAAUUAAAAAACAGGCAAAGGUCCUGAAUAGAUACUUCCCCAAAAAGGACAUAUGGAUGGCCAAUAGACACAUGAAAAGAUGUUCAAAGUCAAUCAUGAUCAGAGAGAUGCAAAUUAAAACUGUAAUGAGAUACCAUCUCACACCUGUUAGAAUGGCUAUCAUCAAGAAAUCAACAAACAACAAGAGGAUAUGGAGCAUGGGAACCCAUUUGCACUGUUGGAAGAAUGCAGACUGGGACAGCCACUGUGGAAAGCAGUAUGGAGAGAUACCUCAAAAAAUUAAAAGUG